ACCUUUUCUUCCGCCCACUCCACUCUCCCAUCGUGCGUCGAGUGGAUCAGGAAGCGGCGUUCCUUGCAAUUAUCCGAUUCAACAAAGAUAUCUCCGGCGCCUCGAUCCCCCUCCUAGACUCUGUCUGGUCGUUGCCGCCGGCGUGGUCAAGGGCCGCGAAAAGGCCCUCGAGGUUGGCUAUGGUAGCGGUGGCACGAAGGGGGGAGGAAGAGGAGGAAGGGGAUA
rnacentral:lncRNA from 1 species